CACCUUUGCUGCAAAGAAAAACCCAAACAGGCUUUGUGAUUUUAGCCUGUUGUCCCCCCUCCCAGCAGCCUCUCAAGGGUUUAUUUUUGAGAUUCAUUUUUCCCCGAGUAGGAAUCAUGCCUUAGAAAACAAGUCAUUAUCAUGCGUUUGUGUUUUAAAUGACCUGGUGUUCUCACUCUGCUCCGUUUAUAAUAUCUUCCGUUCAUUCAUUCCACAAACAGAUGCUCUCCGCCAUCUACAGAGCAUCCUGUUGUGCUGGAGCCAGAAGGGCCGGUUUCGUGGGAGAGCUGGAAACGGACCUGGAACCUCAAGGUUGGGAGAGGGGGAACUCGGGUGAGGACCAAGGGCAGGGCAGGUAGAAAGUGGGCCCGGAAAUUAACACGCACCCUCCGGUCAAUCAACAAGCACUUCCACGUGGUUCAGGCCCCCUGCUCGGCUCUGGCCUGGAGCCGCAAGCAGGUACAGGUGAUUCCAAUAGCGUGAGCGUGGGAGAAACGCGGGCGUCUAAGGGAAGGGCUCUGGCUCGGAGACGAGGCAGGGCUGCCAGGAAGAGAGUGACAUUGCAGCCGAGACGGGAAGAAGGUGUGGGUGAUGGCUUCAAGCAAAGGGAAUGUCCGUUUUGACAUCCCCACGUCAAGGGAGGGGCUGCAGGAACGUCCAUCCCUUUCCCAGCUCCCCCCAGGCCCGCAGGAGGAAGCCUCAGCUGGGAGCCAGCCCAACACCUCUGACACCGGCCGCCCUGCCUUUGGGCGAAGAGGGAGCCGGCCUCGGGCGCGGAGGCUUCCGCAGGCGCCGGUGUCCAGCUGGGAUUUGCUCACACGUCCUUGCACUGGUGUUUAUGGCAGCCCUCCGUUGACGGCUGAACCUUCCCCACUUUGCUGUCAACCUGGAUUCUGCUGCUACACCCUGGGAUGUUCAGGCAAGUCAGUUUGCUUCUCUGAACUUUGUUUUCUCGUCUGUAAAAUGGAGCUAAUAAUAGAACCUCCAUCAGGGGCUGUUGUAAGGAUGAAAAGAGUCCUCAGAAAAGUGGCUGCCACAUACUCCGAAGCUCAGGACACAUCAGCUUUGUUUUCGAUUCCAAGAAUCUGAAAGCACGGGAAAUCAUUCUGAGGGGAAAAUGUGAUUUACAGUCUCUAGGAAAGAAAAUAUACACAAUAAUGAGACAGGUUCCAAGAGACAUGUGUUGUCAUCUGUGAGUGGAGCUUUUCCUGCCUACACAGUCUCGGUAACUUCCUUAAAGAUACGUGCUCUCUUUGUAACCCUUAAGCUCCCACACGUUGGAGGCUUUCUUUUCCUUUCUCUUCUUCUUCUUCUUCUUCUUUUUUUUUUUUUGCCACACCC